UAGGGAAUCUUCGGCAAUGGGGGCAACCCUGACCGAGCAACGCCGCGUGAGUGAAGAAGGUUUUCGGAUCGUAAAGCUCUGUUGUAAGUCAAGAACGGGUGUGAGAGUGGAAAGUUCACACUGUGACGGUAGCUUACCAGAAAGGGACGGCUAACUACGUGCCAGCAGCCGCGGUAAUACGUAGGUCCCGAGCGUUGUCCGGAUUUAUUGGGCGUAAAGCGAGCGCAGGCGGUUUGAUAAGUCUGAAGUUAAAGGCUGUGGCUCAACCAUAGUUCGCUUUGGAAACUGUCAAACUUGAGUGCAGAAGGGGAGAGUGGAAUUCCAUGUGUAGCGGUGAAAUGCGUAGAUAUAUGGAGGAACACCGGUGGCGAAAGCGGCUCUCUGGUCUGUAACUGACGCUGAGGCUCGAAAGCGUGGGGAGCGAACAGGAUUAGAUACCCUGGUAGUCCACGCCGUAAACGAUGAGUGCUAGGU
rnacentral:rRNA from 1 species